UACAUUAUCAAAAUCAAUUUAUUUUAGCAACUUGAAACUUGUUGAAAAGCAUACUUUAUGGAUUAAAAACAGAGGAGGUUGUAUUUUUGAAGUGUAAAAACAGUCUGGGAUUUCAUUCACCUGGCGUUCGGGUGUGCUUGGGGAUUUCUCUGUCAUUUCUUGAACGCUGAGAGAGCGGAGCUGAAUCGAUUUCAUGUUUUUCAGACAGACUUUGUGCUUGUGUCACAAUACAGAAAGCUUGUGCAUCUUCAUACUGUGUUAGUGCAGAUGUCCCAUGCUGGAGGACAGCCACCCUGCGCUGCCACGGAGAGGUUCAGGGCUCCACAGCAUGGUAGCAGUGCUGCUUGCCUCCUGUCAGGAGGGGACGGUGUUGCAGGAACUCAUGACACUAAGCAUUCCUAAAAUGCAUAGAGAAGUGGUUUAAUGGAAGUUUAAGCAACGCUUUUGUUUCUGUGAUGGCAGAGCAGCUGUAACAGAACUUAGGAGGAAUUUGGUGAUGACUGUGGAGAAUGACGAUGCCUGAGAUAGUACAGUUGUCCUUAAAGAAGACUGACCAGGAGAUCCGCAGUGCAGGUCUGAUUUGUGUCAGUAAGUGAAAAUGAUACCACAAGGGACAGUUGGAAGGAUCUUUUAAAAAAAAAAACACAAAGCUACAGGGGUUUUCUUAAUAGAGGUAAUGUGAAAAAGUUCAGCUUCUGGAUUUAUUCCUUGGAUACCAAGUCAAGAUGGUUGUCUCAAGAAGAUGUCAGGAGAUCUCAACAGCGGUCAGGUACUUUCAGAAGACUGUUCUUGUUUCCACAGGGAUGUUUUUUUGUUUGCUCUAGGUGCUGAGAAUGCUGAUUUGCUCCCUUAGGAGCACUGCAUUUUGAGCAUUCUGAAUUUCUGAACUUUGCAAGACUUCUUUACAGGCUAAAAUUGGGAGCUGCGGUUACCUGGUGCAUCCCUAAGUUCUUGUAAUAACCGAAUCAGUUAUUAAGGCAGGAAAUUCCUGCUUCAGGAACACAGUGAGGAAUUAAAAUUACUGAUGCUUCGUUUACUUCUUAAAUUGUUAUUUGAAAGUUCCGUGGUUCUUUCACUUCCUAUUGGCACAUCUCAUCUAUCUUUAGUUCGGCUGAAAACUGCAGCUAAGUGGGAUGCUGAUUAAGUGGAG
ensembl:lncRNA